GUAGCGUUCUUGAGUACGAUUGCUUUAUCGAUGUUUUCCUUUCUAUAAAUCUUCUGAUUUUCUGAGAGUUCUUCGCGAAUAAAUCUCUAAUCUCCAAACAAACGUGCAGCAAUUCUUUUCAUCAAAUUUUUAUAAGGAAAAUCCUAUGUCUAAAGCAACAGGUAUCGUUAAAUGGUUCAAUUCAACUAAAGGUUUCGGUUUUAUCACUCCGGAUCAAGGCGGUAAAGAUAUUUUCGUUCACUUCUCAGGUAUCGUUGGUUCAAACUUCCGUACGUUAGAAGAAGGUGCAAAAGUUGAAUUUGAAGUUCAAGAUUCAGAGCGCGGUCCUUCAGCGGUAAACGUAAAAACACUUUAAUUUUAAACGUGUAUAUAAAGAAUCUAAAAGCCAGCAAAUGCUGGCUUUUUUCA
rnacentral:misc_RNA from 1 species